GUUUUGUCAACCCGUUUUUUUCUCCGUCGUCGCGAUAUUGGGUCACCUCCUAGAGUUUCGAUUCAGUUGCCUCAUCUUCUUCCUAUAGAUCCCGAAAUCCACCAGUUAUAGAUUCAUCCUAUUAAAUUCCGUCUUAAAUCAUCCUUCAAUGCAAACUUUGUUCUUGAGCCCUGAUUUAAAUCAUCUUAAACCUCUGGUGGCAGAAGUCCAGUUAUAGAUCUCGAUCUACCUUCAAUGCAAACUUUGUUCUUGGAAGGCGGUGAAACAUCGAGUAUAAAAAUGUUAGCAUCCCUACUCUCUAAACCAUCCUAUCAAUCUAUUGAAACAACGGAUCUGAAUAGAAACUUCAGAAGUUGAGUAACUGAAAGAGAGGAUGGCGAAGCUAAUGCUUGGUGAAGAUAUGUCAGGUUCUGCUGAAGGAGUUUGUCCUGCCAUCUCUAACGCUAUUACCAAUCUCUACGGGCUUGAGAGUAGUCACCUACCACCGGAGAUAUUACCCACCGUUUUCCGGUGUACGAGAGUCAGCUCAAUCGACGAUGAAGACAAAGAGUAUGCAUAUCAAACGGCUGUGAACAUCGGAGGUUACGUGUUCAAAGGCAUUCUCUACGACCAAGGUCCAUCAGAUGAUCCCCGCUACAGCUCAAGCCCUGCCGCCAUAGCCGUAGAAUCCUCUCAACACCAUCUUAACCACUUGUACUCAGCCUCUUCAGUCGCCACUACAACCACCGUGACCGCGAGAAAUAUUAAUACCGCAUGAGUUGACCUUUCUUCGGUUUACACUGCGGCAGCGGCUCCGAUCAAUUCUUUUAUCACCGCUGAGGACUAAAUCAGAGCUCAAGAGAGAGAAAGAGAGAGAGCAUAAUCUCUAAACGGUAACACUUUUGAAAUCCCAGUCUACUUUUUUUGAUUUUUUGUUUUCCUGAACAUUGGGAGCUACUAAAGGAAAGUAUUUAUCGAUGUGGGUAGUGGAAAAGGAAGUAUUGGAACAGGAUGGUUUGUUAACAAUUACCCAACAAGGAAUCUGAAGUUUGGGAUGUACAAGAUUGAAACGGUGAACGGUGAGAUUAGCCUCGAACCUGAAAAUAUGGGGAUGAAGGAGUGGCUGAAAGAGAAUGUAAAGGGGAGGAAUAUGUGGUGAUGAAGGCAGAGGUUGAGGUGUUGGAGGAGAUGAUGAGGAGCAAGACGAUAAAAUGGUGGAUAAGCUUUUCUUGGAAUGCAAGCCACGGGUACUAGGGCAGGGAAGGAACAUGGAGACAGCGUGAGAGAGAAUAUCUAUCAAACCAUGCGUUUUUGUUUUUACAUUAUCUGCUUUUUUCUUCUGUUUUGUUGUCAGAAUUUUUUUAAUCAUCUUAUGAUCAUUCUGUAUUGUUGUGUGUUUUUAGUAUGUUGUGGUGUUGCUGAAGAUUGUUUUAUUUUCUCCUAGAACAAAUGAAUUCCAUAAA